UAACAGCUCUGUAUCUGAAAUGUACUCAGCCUUACUCCAAACAAAAACAAAAAACAAACUAUCUGCCACACGUAUAAACGCAAUUUCAUUUCCCCCCCAGAUUUGCCGUGUUCCUGAUUCUUCAGCUUCCAGUGCACGAUGCCACUACCUGUAUCUACAACCGUUUUAGUACUUUGCUAUGAACGAGAGAAGGCGAAGGCUAUCGUGUCCUUGCGCCAAGACAUGUGAAGCUAGACUACUGCAUCUUUUCAAACUACUGCAUCACAGGGCAGCGCAACACACGCUGCGGAAAGCACCAUCGGCCGUCGGCCGUCUUACGCAUACGUGAACUCAGAGAAGCUCCUGAUUGGCCAGUGUCGCUGCGAGUGAAAAGGGAGGGAGAGUAAGCCAUCCUUCCCACCCAGAGAGCAUCGGUGGGAGAAAGUUUGCUCUCAAGGACUCUUUAAGACUCCCACCCGCGCACGGCUGCGGCACCGUCACAAACCCGAACUCGCGAUGUAAUUCCAACUAACGCUUUUGUAAUCGGAUACAUCUUCUGGUCUCGUGGCACUCACCUCAGACGCCUCAGCUAAAAUACAUCUGCAGACUCACCUGCCUGCCUCAUGCUAGCCCUGUUUUAAAGCUUUAACGGGGUUGGGAUUUCCAACGGGGGAAGGUGGAACAACACCUGGUUUACACUCAGCAUGCAAAUACCAGGUCUCUGAAUAUCCCCGUCAUUAGCCCCACACACACACACACCCCCCACAGUCAAGCACAGCUGGGCAGUAACUGAAUUCACAGCAUGGCUGUAUAUUAAUCAACCGUCAAAAUGAGUUUGAAAAUAGUGAUUUAUGAUGUUGUUACAAAUUCUGGGAUAUUUAUUACUCCAUUUAAAGACACCUGAAGAUUAUAAAACAAGUAUACAUCACAUAACGUUUUUCGUUUGCUUGUUUUUAUACUGAAACAGCCAAGGUAGCACUAUAAACAUGACUGGAAAGCUCAUAAUAUUCAUUCCUAAAUUAGGUUUUUUUUUAAAUAUUAUUCUUCAUUUGAUAUGCAAACAAAUAGGACCCAUUUUGGAGGGUUCUAAAGGCUUUCAGGUUGUAUUAACUGCACCCUUUUCUAAACAAUAUGUCCAAACUUUACUACAAAAGUAGUAGUCACAAGUGCGUUUGGAUUUUUUUUUUU